GUAUGAACGGCAAAACCUCUUCCAACUGUCUCCCCUCCCACCCUUUUAAAUUUCCUCCUGUGUGAAGAAGCACAGAUAUAUCAGAAAGACGAGAAGACCCUGUCGAGCUUUAACCACUAAGUGGGCCUUACCCUUUUCAGGCACCACCCAAAGGUUUUGGUUGGGGCAACCAUGGAGAAAAAAGAUCCUCCAGAACAAAUAGAAGAAAGCUUUUCACUAUUUUACGACUGAGAACCAGGAACUGGUAUUCGGAAAAAGUUACCGCAGGGAUAACAGCGUCAUCUCCUCUAAGAGUCCUUAUUGACGAGGAGGUUUGCGACCUCGAUGUUGGAUUGGGGCCCCCUUAGGGUGCAGAAGCUCUAAACGGUUAGACUGUUCGUCUAUUAAAGCCCUACAUGAUCUGA
rnacentral:rRNA from 1 species